GACGAACGCUGGCGGCGUGCUUAACACAUGCAAGUCGAACGGAAAGGCCCUGCUUUUGUGGGGUGCUCGAGUGGCGAACGGGUGAGUAACACGUGAGUAACCUGCCCUUGACUUUGGGAUAACUUCAGGAAACUGGGGCUAAUACCGGAUAGGAGCUCCUGCUGCAUGGUGGGGGUUGGAAAGUUUCGGCGGUUGGGGAUGGACUCGCGGCUUAUCAGCUUGUUGGUGGGGUAGUGGCUUACCAAGGCGUUGACGGGUAGCCGGCCUGAGAGGGUGACCGGCCACAUUGGGACUGAGAUACGGCCCAGACUCCUACGGGAGGCAGCAGUGGGGAAUAGUGCACGAUGGGCGGAAGCCUGAUGCAGCAACGCCGCGUGCGGGAUGACGGCCUUCGGGUUGUAAACCGCUUUCGCCUGUGACGAAGCGUGAGUGACGGUAAUGGGUAAAGAAGCACCGGCUAACUACGUG
rnacentral:rRNA from 1 species